ensembl:lncRNA
AAAAUUAAAAUGAAAAGCUCGUAUUUACACAAAAUGCUACAAAUAUUUUUGUUCCACAGAAAUCUAAGAAUGGUAAAGCAUAUCCAGAAAAAAAAAAUGGAAUUUUAUUCAGAAUACCUAAGAAAUUACUGUAAGUUAUGGUUCUGGCUGAUAUAUUUCAAAGUACUGCAUGAAAAAGCAAACAGUUAUUUGUAAACAUGAAGUAAACAAACAUCUAAAAAGUUCUCACAUAGAAAAUAUUUUUGAAAUGCAUUAUCUUUUUAAGAACAACAAAUUCAAGGUCUGGAGGAGUCAUCUUUUAUUUAUUGUGGUUCUUCCGAAUGUCAUCGGUAUAAUGAUUGUUUUUGCUAAUGCUUGUGUUUCCACGUAUUAACCUAGACUCUGAGUCAGUCCCUUUCCUGGGAACGGACGCAACGCUACACCAGGACACACAGCUCCUCCCUCGGCACUUGCCUUGGAUGGUCCCUAAGGGUGUGGAAUUCUCUGCUCACUUUUUUAAAAGGCCCUGGGGGGUGGGGUGGUAAGACAAAAAGAGCGAACCACAGCUGACUUGUGGAGUCUUUCAGUUCCAAGCUGGCAAGCUGGGUGCCAUUACACACACACACACACACACACACACACACACACACAAACACUACAGCUUUGGUACCUGUUCUGGGACUCUGACAUCGGUUCCAGCAGGUUUCAAAAGUGGCUGGGUUGGUCACACUGGAAACCAAGCCAUUUUCACCUGCAGGAAGAAGUGGCGUGUUGGCUAGUUCAGAGUUCUACAGUAGCAGAAAGCCUUUGCUUUGGUCUUGAAAUCACAAAUCAUACACACGACCCAGUGCACAGUAAGGAUUCGGUUUAAAAAAAAAAAAAAAAAAAAGAUAGAAGAAAAACGUAACCCUCAGGGUAAAAAGGGGCAGAAUUUGCUCUAAGAAAGGUAAAUUAUCCCACUGGAGUGGUUGGAGUGAGGGGAGAAGGAAGAAGUGCUUGAAUUUUUCCCAAGAAAAUAAAACUUUUAAAGUGUUUCUGGGUUGCUGCCUGCAGCCACUAUAGUAACAUUUCAACACACAAAAAAAUCCCUCAAGUCACUUAGUAUGUGUCCUGUAAACUUAAAAAAGCCCUUUCAACAUUAAAAAAAAAAAAAAAAGAAUGUACAGCUAUAGUACCUCUUUUAUUAAAUAGGGCACAUACAGCUGGCACUGGUGAUAACGUUUUUAUGUCAAUGACCUAGGAUUGAAAUGUGUAAACCAGACACUGGCUUUUUUAAGUGCGGCUUAAACAAACACAUAUUUUUACACUUACAAAUAAAUGGACAGUGGCGUGCUUCAAGCUACCACACACAACAAUAAAUAGUAUCAAUGACUAUUUCCAUCUUAUAAUAGAAAAGUGGCUUAUUUUAUCUAAGCAUACUUGGUAUACAACCUUUAGAAGGCAAAGUGUUUUGGUUUGCUUUGGUUUUUUCCCCCUUGAUUUUUAUUAGGAGGCGUCAGGGUGAAUUCCCAGGCGAAUAGCACAGGUCCAGUGCCCCCACAAGGCUGCCUGGAGGUGCCUGGUGGCCUAUGAAGUGAGCUGAAGGAGUACUAGGGAGCAAGGAAGGGGCCUCUGGGAGCUGGAGGCAGAUCUCUGUAAGGUUCUGCUCGGGGUAGGGGGCACAGAAUUCUAAUGAAGGGGCCUUGACCUGUGGGGGAGGGUCUGCCCAGUGGUGUCACGAAGUGGUCCUGGCUUGGAUUAAGGAUUCACACUGGAGAAUUUGCUGUGUGGCCGCCAGGAGGGGUCAAAGUGCAUCCGACAGGAGGGCUUCGGCUCAAGUUCACAUGCAGUAGUAGACAUCAAACUCCACCUGGCCUUGCCUUCCUGCCACCCGCCACUGUGAGAAAUACGGACAUCCAAGGGUGUCUAUGGGUCCCCGCAGCCCGUAGGUGCUCAGAUCAGCUGCCUGCUGGGACCUGCCUGCUCCUUAAGGUGACCCUGCUUCCGUGAGACAAUGACUCAAUUCUGCUCCUUUAAAUGCAAAUUCUGUGGAGAGCUGCCAGGGGCCCCAGGCAGACUUGGGUUCCCCUGACUUGCAGUUUGGUAAGGCGGGUUGGGCAAGACUCCCCCAGUGCAGUUUUACGUUCCUGUACUAGGUGUAUCAUGAUUGAUCCUUUAGCCACAUGCGUGGCUUUAAGCCGACUACAUUUUCACUAUGAAGCCUGGCGCUUUAGAGGUUUGCUUGAACUAUGAAACCACAGAGCAUCAGUCUGCAGUUCAAUGAUUCACUUGUGCUUGUCUUUUUAAUAUGACAAAAGUCAUCAUUAUUUCAAAGAAAUUAGGAAACCACAUCACCCCAGCAUUUCAUGCUGAUAAAGGGCCACAUAAGUGAUAAAGGACUAAGAGUUGGGUUUUGUUUUUGUUUUUGUUUUUAAUCUCUAAUGAUUGCUUUUGAAAAGGCAAAGCUGGGUUAGAGGCAAUCAAAGAGCUGAAAGACCUAAACAUAACAUUUCCUUCAUACAUCGCAAAAACAAGCUACAUCUAAAAUAUUUGGAGGUGGAAGUAUUUUUUAAAAAUCACAUUGUGCCUGGAUGAACUGAAAUUGCUUAGCAAUAUUUCAGAUAUGGCUCUAGCCCACAGAAGAAAUUUGUUAUUUAAUAAAGAGCACUUUUAGAGACCGAAGUCAACACAUCAAUACACUAAGAAAUGUUUCAAGGGUCCAAAUGUCAUUAAAUAAUUAUAAAUAUAUCUUUAAAGUUAUAUGACCAUUCACGUUAGCAAGUUACCUCAGAUUUUACACAUAUUCAUAAUUUAAAAAAAAAA